rnacentral:lncRNA from 1 species
GAUCAAUGAGUUAAAAUGGAUCGUAUCUACAUAAAAGGGUUCUUUAAACAACAUCACUGUAAAACUCAGGAUGUGCUAUCCAAUUUGUAGUAAGGAUGCUGAAGGUACGGAAAACUUUCAAACCAAAUCGUUUUUCUAAAUAAAAAGAAUUUUUGAUCAUCUGUUACAAAAUUAGCAUAAAUGUACGAUAGAUAUAUAAGGGCUUUCUAUUAAAUGGCACAGGCUUUCUGUAUACCAUGUGUUGAUUGUUGGUGUUUGUUUUGUGUGUACGACUGAUUUUCGGAG